GAGUGAUGAACGUCCAGGUGCGCAGGCAGGACCUACUUCCACUCAUAAUGGGGCGGUCACGGGUUCGAGUCCCGUCUCCG
rnacentral:tRNA from 1 species